UGUUACCUGUAGCUCAGGUGAAAGUUCCUCAUCAUGACCCUAAAGAUGCUCAUUAGAGUGAACCUCCACCUCAUGUCUUGUUGGGUGAAUCAGUGAUUAUCUGUAACUUACAAUUAGCCUAUUCCGAGUCAGAUUUCAGGUUUUACUGCUAUCUUCUCCUGGGUUAUACCGCUCUGCUUCCACUUGUUCCUGUACACACACACCCACCAGGCUCCCUCUCUUCGGUUGGCUCUGCGGUUGCUCUGAAAUGAGCCCUGUUGGAGGCGCUCAGUGCAGCUUUUCAGGUUUGGUGGAGCGGGAGGUGAUUAUAUGGAACACAAUUG